UUGAAGUUAGCUAAAAAGAACUGUAGUCAGUGAAAAGCACCCUGAUAAGCCCAUCAACCUGAUGUUUUGUGAAUCUUGCCUCUGAAUGAGAACAGAAAUCAAGUCAUGUUUCUUUACUUCAAACUAAGGACUGGCAUGAUUCAGCAGGAUCUCAGCAGGCAGGGAAGGAUGAGACCUCCCAUACAACUUGGAAAUGGAAUUUAUGCACACCUGCACACAGCUCUGCCCAAAAAACAAGGACACUGAGCACUGGAUGAAGAAUAGCAGGAACAUGAGAGGCUUUCCUGGGAAUGCAUCCAAGGAGCGCUGGUGGAGGCUCUCUAGUUAAUCACUUUGUCAAAAGGAGUACUUUUUCCAGUGUGCAACAUUAUUCACUUAACUUUUCAUUAGGCCUUUUCAUGUGUAAUUGCUGUAAGGAACAGUAAGUGAUGUUUCAUGCCACAAAAGGAUAGCUACUCAUUGUAUUUGGGCUUCCUCCAGAUGAAAGGUAAUGUCUAUUUCUUAAAUGUUUUACAGUUUUUAGAAUUGCUUUGAAAUUCUCUGCAGUUUUGGGGGCAAAACCAAAAAUUUUGUAGUGACUGAGUGAACUGAUUUAUGAAAAAUUUGUUUCUAGCAGCUAUUUCCCAGACAAUUGUAUGUGAGUAUAAUCUGCAUAUAUUUCAAAGAUAUGAGCACUUGAGUCAGAAGAAAUGACCAGUGUUACAUCAG